CCGCCCACGCGGCGUGGCCAAGGACUUGCAAGGGCGUUUCCGCGCGGGAACGAGACGGUGUGGGCGGGACUUCCCGCUCCGCUGGGGGCGCCGUCCCUUUGCUCCGGGGUCCAGCAGCGAUCUGAGUCCUGUCGGAGCGCGGAGUCAGCCUCGAGGCGACCGCAGCGAGGAGGCGCUGGAGGAAAGGUUGUCCCCACUGCACAACGGCUCGUCUGCAGAGCCGCGGCGGUGAACGGCGACUGUACCCGAGCUCAGUCUCGGUCGCCCACCCCGUCACACCCCGCUCCUCCCACAGACUCGGUUGGCGGCGGCGGUGCUGAGUGACCCGGCUCAAGCAAAAACUCGUCCUCUGGGCCUUCACUGCCCUCGCCCCAGCAGACGCUAAAGCCCCGAGGGCGAGGCGCCUGCUCCGUAUUGCUCCCUGUGUCCAGAUCGGGCUGCAGAAGGAUACCUGGAGGCCAGAGACCAUUGAGGCUGCCGUGGUUAUAUCCCUCUAAUGACCUCCUUCUUCCCAUAGACUCCCAUGACUACAGAGGUGCUUAUGGACCGUACAGAGGUGAGUGGAGGAUAUUUGGGGCCCUCAGUGGUCCUGACCCCACCCUUUGUCUCAGGGAUUGUGUCCUGGGAUUCUUCCAGUCCAUGGGCCUGAGGACCCUGAAGAAACCACAAGCCCAGGGUUGUAAAGCCAGACUAGAGGUGAAAAGGAGAGUUCCUAUUUCUGGCAACCAAUGCAAUUUGGUGUAAAAACUUGUUCCAGACAUAGGUUCCAGAAUGUGCUAAUUCUUGGAGGUGAGACUCAGUUCAAGAAUUGUAGUUCUCCCUAUGUAUUUAUUUAUGUCUUUUUAAAGCCACACCUGAGGCAUAUGGAGGUUCCCAGGCUAGAGGUUGAAUUGAAGCUGUAGCUCCUGGCCUACACCACAGCCACAGCAACGCCAGAUCCGAGCAGUGUCUGUGACCUACACCACGGCUCACGGCAAUGCCAGAUCCUUAACCCACUGAGUAAGGCCCAGGAUUGAACCUGCGUCCUCAUGGAUACUAGUAAGAUUUUUUUCUGAUGAGCCGCAAUGGGAACUCCCGAGCUCUCCAUUCUUAUGAGAAAGAAAGGCAAGCUGAGGGCAGGUGGGAAGGUGUCAGGCUAGAAAUGGCUCCAUGAGAAGUUGGGGAUCUCUUCUGGAGGUGAUGAGACAAAUAGGAGGUUUGGGACAGAGAAGAAAAGUGAUGUGACCCAGGUCUCAUCAUUGGCUGCUUGGAGAGGAGACUAUAGGUGUAGAGAGGCAACAGGAAGAGCAGAAAGAGGCACAUGCCAUACUUCAGGGGAAUGUUGGUGGUUGUAGUGGUGUAAGGGCCAUAGAGAUGGGAGAACUGGCUGGAUUCUGGAUCCACUUUUGAAACUAGGGCUGCCCAGCACUUCAGAUUUUGAGUGUGAGAGAGAGAAAGGUAGAGGUCAGGAGUGACUCCAAAGUCUGGGAGUUCAACAGCUAGAAGAUGGAAACUCCCGUGACCAAAUAGUAAGAUUUUCAUGAAGACCUGGUAGGGAGUUCCCAUCAUGGCGCAGCGGAAACAAAUCCAACUAGGAACGGUGAGGUUGCAGGUUUGAUCCCAGGCCUCGCUCAGGGGGUUAAGGAUCCAGCGUUGCCGUGAGCUGUGGUGCAGGUCGCAGAUGCGGCUCGGACCUGAUGUUGCUGUGGUGUAUAUCAGCAGCUGUAGCUCAGACUGGACCCCUAGCCUGGGAACCUCCAUAUGC
ensembl:lncRNA